UUAGUAAUUGCGAAUGAACAAGGAUAUGCUUAGCUUGACAAAUGGAGCUAUUGGCUUUGAAUUGUAUUGUGGAAAUGUAUUACCAACAGAGGUGCAGGUGCCAGCCUAUUGAAAUAAAGCGUCAAUGAGGGUGAGAAUCCUGUUUGUCAUGUGCAGCCCUUUGUGCACGGUGUAUAUUUGCUGAGUCACACUCCUUGGCAUUGGAAUGCAAAGUGGGUGGUAAGUUUCAUGUAAAGGUAAACAUGCAAUUGAGACUGAUAGCACACAAGUACCAUGAGGGAAAUAUGAAAAGGACUUUGAAAAGAGAAUUAAAUGAGUUUGUAUUUGCUGAACACAAAGUAAACAGACUUGAUUUGCUUGGUGGGAGUGUUGCACUUGCUUGACAAGAGCUUUGGGCUGUGGGUGUAAUGAUUCUUUCUUUGCAUGCCAGUUUCUAUUUGUACAUCUGAUUACCUUUGCACAUGAAUGAUAAGUCUCCUGUGGGGGGUGGAUUGCAUGUGCAUGUAAUGAUUUGUGUUUUGAUAAAUGUGUCUGGUGUAUGUGUGUGUUCCUGUGCUUGGGGAUGCUUCCUUCCUUGGACUUACAAGCCCUGACACACACAUGCUGGCAAAAUGCUUCUGCUUGACCCGUCUUGAAACACGGACCAAGGAGUCUAACAGAUGUGCAAAGUUUGAAGGUGGUAUACCUUUGUGUGCAAUGAAAGUGUCAGCUGGGAUAUGUGCACCAGCACCCAAUUAAUUAGCGGACAGAGGUUUGAGUUGGAGCAUAUCUAUUAGGACCCGAAAGAUGGUGAACUAUGCCUGAACAGAAUGAAUUCAGAGGAAACUCUGAUGGAGGUUCGUAUCGAUACUGACGUGCAAAUCGUUCGUCAUAUUUGGGUAUAGGGGCGAAAGACUAAUCGAACCAUCUAGUAGCUGGUUCCCUCCGAAGUUUCCCUCAGGAUAGCUGGAGUUGCUCAGUUUUAUCAGGUAAAGCGAAUGAUUAGAGGAAUUGGGGACAGGUUUGUCUUUGACCUAUUCUCAAACUUUAAAUGGGUAAUAUGUAGUGGUUGCUGUAUGGAACUUCUAAGAUAAAUGGCAAUAUUGGGUGGGCCAUUUUUGGUAAGCAGAACUGGCGAUGAGGGA
rnacentral:rRNA from 1 species